ensembl:snRNA U6 U6 spliceosomal RNA
ACUCCCUUUGGCAGCACAUAUAAAAUUGGGAUCAUGCAGAGAAGACUAGCAUGGCCCCUUUACAUGGAUGACACACAAAUUCGUGAAGUGUUCCAUGUCAGA